UGCCCCUUUAUGCCACUUUUCCUCUGCAGUUCAUCAAUGGUAAUAUGUUGUAGCCUCCUCAUAUAUACAACUCUGUUGUCAUUUGGGUGACCCUGUAAUUCCAUUCCAUGGAGAUGUCAAGAGAUCUGGAAGAAGGCCAUGUUGAAUGGACCUCCAAAAGGAUUAAUACAAGGCUGGAAGUGUGAGGGACUGUCUGAUGUUGGCAGCUACCAGGUUGGGUACUGUGGCAAGGGUAAG
rnacentral:lncRNA from 1 species